UAUUUGAGAUGUUCAACAUUCCACUCUUGGCACGACUGCUGAAGCUGUAGCUGCUCCGCUCUAGAUAACCAUGUGACACGAGAUUCUUCUUCAGAUUAGGGAUGUGCUUCACAUUAGUGAGCAUUUGCACCAUCCCAUCAAACAUACUCAUCUGAAUGCUUCCAAUACCAGCAACUCAACAUAGGUGAUCAUCUCCAAGUGUCAUGCUCCAUUCAUCUGUCUCGGAGUAUGUGGCGAACC
rnacentral:lncRNA from 1 species